rnacentral:rRNA from 1 species
GAUGAACGCUGGCGGCGUGCCUAAUACAUGCAAGUCGAGCGAACAGACGAGGAGCUUGCUCCUCUGACGUUAGCGGCGGACGGGUGAGUAACACGUGGAUAACCUACCUAUAAGACUGGGAUAACUUCGGGAAACCGGAGCUAAUACCGGAUAAUAUAUUGAACCGCAUGGUUCAAUAGUGAAAGACGGUUUUGCUGUCACUUAUAGAUGGAUCCGCGCCGCAUUAGCUAGUUGGUAAGGUAACGGCUUACCAAGGCGACGAUGCGUAGCCGACCUGAGAGGGUGAUCGGCCACACUGGAACUGAGACACGGUCCAGACUCCUACGGGAGGCAGCAGUAGGGAAUAUUCCGAAAUGGGCGAAAGCCUGACGGAGCAACGCCGCGUGAGUGAUGAAGGUCUUCGGAUCGUAAAACUCUGUUAUUAGGGAAGAACAAAUGUGUAAGUAACUAUGCACGUCUUGACGGUACCUAAUCAGAAAGCCACGGCUAACUACGUGC